UACGUAGGGUGCAAGCGUUGUUCGGAAUUACUGGGCGUAAAGGGCGCGUAGGCGGUUCUUUAAGUCAGGCGUGAAAGCCCUGGGCUCAACCUGGGAGUGGCGCUUGAUACUGGAGGACUAGAGAGUGGGAGAGGUUGGUGGAAUUCCCAGUGUAGAGGUGAAAUUCGUAGAUAUUGGGAAGAACACCGGUGGCGAAGGCGGCCAACUGGACCAUUUCUGACGCUGAGGCGCGAAAGCGUGGGGAGCAAACAGG
rnacentral:rRNA from 1 species